rnacentral:rRNA from 1 species
AGAGUUUGAUCCUGGCUCAGGAUGAGCGCUAGCUACAGGCUUAACACAUGCAAGUCGAGGGGCAGCAUUUCAGUUUGCUUGCAAACUGGAGAUGGCGACCGGCGCACGGGUGAGUAACACGUAUCCAACCUGCCGAUAACUCGGGGAUAGCCUUUCGAAAGAAAGAUUAAUACCCGAUGGUAUAAUCAGACCGCAUGGUCUUGUUAUUAAAGAAUUUCGGUUAUCGAUGGGGAUGCGUUCCAUUAGGCAGUUGGUGAGGUAACGGCUCACCAAACCUUCGAUGGAUAGGGGUUCUGAGAGGAAGGUCCCCCACAUUGGAACUGAGACACGGUCCAAACUCCUACGGGAGGCAGCAGUGAGGAAUAUUGGUCAAUGGGCGCAGGCCUGAACCAGCCAAGUAGCGUGAAGGAUGACUGCCCUAUGGGUUGUAAACUUCUUUUAUAUGGGAAUAAAGUUUUCCACGUGUGGAAUUUUGUAUGUACCAUAUGAAUAAGGAUCGGCUAACUCCGUGCCAGCAGCCGCGGUAAUACGGAGGAUCCGAGCGUUAUCCGGAUUUAUUGGGUUUAAAGGGAGCGUAGGUGGACAGUUAAGUCAGUUGUGAAAGUUUGCGGCUCAACCGUAAAAUUGCAGUUGAUACUGGCUGUCUUGAGUACAGUAGAGGUGGGCGGAAUUCGUGGUGUAGCGGUGAAAUGCUUAGAUAUCACGAAGAACUCCGAUUGCGAAGGCAGCUCACUGGACUGCAACUGACACUGAUGCUCGAAAGUGUGGGUAUCAAACAGGAUUAGAUACCCUGGUAGUCCACACAGUAAACGAUGAAUACUCGCUGUUUGCGAUAUACAGUAAGCGGCCAAGCGAAAGCAUUAAGUAUUCCACCUGGGGAGUACGCCGGCAACGGUGAAACUCAAAGGAAUUGACGGGGGCCCGCACAAGCGGAGGAACAUGUGGUUUAAUUCGAUGAUACGCGAGGAACCUUACCCGGGCUUAAAUUGCAUUUGAAUAUAUUGGAAACAGUAUAGCCGUAAGGCAAAUGUGAAGGUGCUGCAUGGUUGUCGUCAGCUCGUGCCGUGAGGUGUCGGCUUAAGUGCCAUAACGAGCGCAACCCUUAUCUUUAGUUACUAACAGGUCAUGCUGAGGACUCUAGAGAGACUGCCGUCGUAAGAUGUGAGGAAGGUGGGGAUGACGUCAAAUCAGCACGGCCCUUACGUCCGGGGCUACACACGUGUUACAAUGGGGGGUACAGAAGGCAGCUACCUGGUGACAGGAUGCUAAUCCCAAAAGCCUCUCUCAGUUCGGAUCGAAGUCUGCAACCCGACUUCGUGAAGCUGGAUUCGCUAGUAAUCGCGCAUCAGCCAUGGCGCGGUGAAUACGUUCCCGGGCCUUGCACUCACCGCCCGUCA